rnacentral:rRNA from 1 species
CCGGAUUUAUUGGGUUUAAAGGGUGCGCAGGCGGGAGAUUAAGUCGGCGGUGAAAUUUUGCAGCUCAACUGUAAAAGUGCCUUCGAUACUGGUUUCCUUGAGUGUGGAUGAAGUAGGCGGAAUUUGUGGUGUAGCGGUGAAAUGCUUAGAUAUCACGAGGAACUCCGAUUGCGCAGGCAGCUUACUAAACCACUACUGACGCUCAGGCACGAAGGCGUGGGGAUCAAACAGGAUUAGAUACCCUGGUAGUCCACGCAGUAAACGAUGAUUACUGGCUGUUUGUGAUACAAUGUAAGCGGCUGAGCGAAAGCGUUAAGUAAUCCACCUGGGGAGUACGUUCGCAAGAAUGAAACUCAAAGGAAUUGACGGGGGCCCGCACAAGCGGAGGAACAUGUGGUUUAAUUCGAUGAUACGCGAGGAACCUUACC